GUAACAAGGUCUCCGUUGGUGAACCAGCGGAGGGAUCAUUACCGAGUUUACAACUCCCAAACCCAAUGUGAACGUUACCAAACUGUUGCCUCGGCGGGAUCUCUGCCCCGGGUGCGUCGCAGCCCCGGACCAAGGCGCCCGCCGGAGGACCAACCAAAACUCUUUUGUAUACCCCCUCGCGGGUUUUUUUAUAUCUGAGCCAUCUCGGCGCCUCUCGUAGGCGUUUCGAAAAUGAAUCAAAACUUUCAACAACGGAUCUCUUGGUUCUGGCAUCGAUGAAGAACGCAGCGAAAUGCGAUAAGUAAUGUGAAUUGCAGAAUUCAGUGAAUCAUCGAAUCUUUGAACGCACAUUGCGCCCGCCAGUAUUCUGGCGGGCAUGCCUGUCCGAGCGUCAUUUCAACCCUCGAACCCCUCCGGGGGGUCGGCGUUGGGGAUCGGCCCUUUACGGGGCCGGCCCCGAAAUACAGUGGCGGUCUCGCCGCAGCCUCUCCUGCGCAGUAGUUUGCACACUCGCAUCGGGAGCGCGGCGCGUCCAUUGCCGUAAAACACCCAACUUUCUGAAAUGUUGACCUCGGAUCRGGUARGAAUACCCGCURAACUUAAGCAUAUCAAUAAGCGGAGGA
rnacentral:rRNA from 1 species